CCCUCCCUUCCAAGAAGGGGAAGAGAAAAACCCUAGCGAGCUCUUCUUCCUCUACAUAUAGCCCCAUCCAUCCUCUGCUCCGCCGACUCAUUCAGCAGCUCACCGAGCUUCCCCUGUUUUCCUCUCUCCCUCUCUCUCUAGAAUCUGCAAUUUCAGAGCGCGGCCGCUGUUUUGUUGUCCUGCUUGAUGUCUCUGUUCUUGAUGAAUUGGUCUUCGUUGUGUUUGCUUGCUUGUCCAAUGCCGUGCUUUCGGCGUGUGUUUUGGUGGGAAUUUGGGGUUUUGAGCGCGUCUGGUGUGAUUUCAAACGAGGGUUUUCUUGAUGGUUUUGGGACCGGCACGUCUGCCCCCUCAAGCAUCGAUCUUGAUUGUUUUUGAGGGAUCAACAUGUCCCUAGACAUUGGUGUUUCGUGUGUGUAUGUGUGUGUGGAUUUGAUUUGGGGAUUAGGGUCUCGUUCAUUUAAAACUUGGAAUGCGAUGUGGCUUUUCUCGGGUCGGGGACGAUACAUCUGAAGGCUUGUUUCUUGGAAAACAUUCGCAGUGGCCGCCUAAGAGCUUUCGCCUUCGCCGGGCUUGAGAGCUAAUGCUGCUAUAAUCCUUCCUUGGAUGUCUGAGACCUUGCCAUCUUGUACUUGCUAUGUUUCAUAACGUAGAUUGCUAUUGCUUCGGAUUAGGAUUUGCUCAGUCUUGUGAUGUGCAUACAAUUAUACAUUGGAUUUUGACAUGUCAAUAUGAUUUCGCCGAAAAUUUGUUGUUGAUAGCGAUUCUUUUUGUUGAUGAUGUUCAUCGAUGAUGACAAUUCGAAGGCUUGUUUCUCAAAGAACAUUCGCAGUGGCCGCCUAAGAGCUUUCGCCUUCGCCAGGCUUGAGAGCUGAUGCUGCUAUAUUCCUUCCUUGGAUGUCUGAGACCUUGCCAUCCUGUACUUGCUAUGUUUCAUAACGCAGAUUGCUAUUGCUUCAGAUUAGGAUUUGCUCAGUCUUGUGAUGUGCAUACAAUUAUACAUUGGUUAUUGACAUGUCAUUAUGAUUUUGCUGAAAAUUUGUUGUUGAUAGCGAUUCCUUUUGUUGAUGAUGUUCAUCGAUGAUGACAAUUCGAAGGCUUGUUUCUCAAAGAACAUUCGCAGUGGCCGCCUAAGAGCUUUGCCUUCGCCAGGCUUGAGAGCUGAUGCUGCUAUAUUCCUUCCUUGGAUGUCUGAGACCUUGCCAUCCUGUACUUGCUAUGUUUCAUAACGUAGAUUGCUAUUGCUUCAGAUUAGGAUUUGCUCAGUCCUGUGAUGUGCAUACAAUUAUACAUUGGUUGUUGACAUGUCAUUAUGAUUUUGCCGAAAAUUUGUUGUUGAUAGCAGAUUCCUUUUGUUGAUGAUGUUCAUCGAUGAUGACAAUUCGAAGGCUUGUUUCUCAAAGAACAUUCGCAGUGGCCGCCUAAGAGCUUUCGCCUUCGCCAGGCUUGAGAGCUGAUGCUGCUAUAUUCCUUCCUUGGAUGUCUGAGACCUUGCCAUCUUGUACUUGCUAUGUUUUAUCACCUAGAUUUCUAUUGCUUCAGAUUAGGAUUUGCUCAGUCUUGUGAUGUGCAUACAAUUAUACAUUGGCUGUCGACAUGUCAUUAUAAUUUCGCGGAAAAUUUGUUGUUGAUAGUGAUUCUUUUGGUGAUGAUAUUCAUCGAUGAUGACAAUUCGAAGGCUUGUUUCUCAAAGAACAUUCGCAGUGGCCGCCUAAGAGCUUUCGCCUUCGCCAGGCUUGAGAGCUAAUGCUGCUAUAAUCCUUCCUUGGAUGUCUGAGACCUUGUCAUCUUGUACUAGAUUUGCUUUGGAUUUGGAUUUGGAUUUGCUCAGUCUUGUGGUGUGCAUACAAUGGUGAAUUGGCUGUUGAUGUGCUGUUACCAUUUCGUGGGAAAGAUGUUGUUAAGAGUGAUUCUUUUUGGUAAUGAUAUUCAUCGAUGAUGACAAUUCGAAGGCUUGUUUCUCAAAGAACAUUCGCAGUGGCCGCCUAAGAGCUUUCGCCUUCGCCGGGCUUGAGAGCUAGUGCUGCUUCAAUCCUUCCUUGGAUGUCUGAGAUCCCUUCUUGGGAAUUUACAAAGCUGUUGCUACGUCCUCGGUUUCAUUGAUCUCUAUGGGGUCACUUUUGAGCACCAAUGUCGCCGGUUCAAGUCGGAGGCGAGGAAUUAGUGGGAGCUUAUGAGAUUCAGUGGAAGCUUAGUUGAGUUAUGGCAAGAUUGACAAAGAAAUUGUAAUAUUUAGUUCUCAAGUUGCCUUAGGCUUUUUUUUGUUUUUCACCUUAGUUGGAAAUGUAUACAUUUUGUUUUACUUAGAAUAGCAGGAGUGUUUCGACCAAGAAAAGAAAGCAAAAGUGUGGUAUAAGCCUAUAAGGAUAUUGUUUAGGUUAAUGUGAUGAAAAACUUCAAAUUCAAAUUGGUAUACUUGAGAUAAAUUCAUUCCAAA